rnacentral:rRNA from 1 species
AUUCCCCACUGCUGCCUCCCGUAGGAGUCUGGACCGUGUCUCAGUUCCAGUGUGACUGAUCAUCCUCUCAGACCAGUUACGGAUCGUCGCCUUGGUAGGCCUUUACCCCACCAACUAGCUAAUCCGACCUAGGCUCAUCUGAUAGCGUGAGGUCCGAAGAUCCCCCACUUUCUCCCUCAGGACGUAUGCGGUAUUAGCGCCCGUUUCCGGACGUUAUCCCCCACUACCAGGCAGAUUCCUAGGCAUUACUCACCCGUCCGCCGCUGAAUCCAGGAGCAAGCUCCCUUCAUCCGCUCGACUUGCAUGUGUUAGGCCUGCCGCCAGCGUUCAAUCUGAGCCAGGAUCAAACUCUC